UACGAAGGGGGCAAGCGUUGUUCGGAGUUACUGGGCGUAAAGGGCGCGUAGGCGGCGAUACAAGUCAGAUGUGAAAGCCCUGGGCUCAACCCGGGAUGUGCAUUUGAGACUGUGUUGCUAGAAUCCAGGAGAGGUUGGUGGAAUUCCCAGUGUAGAGGUGAAAUUCGUAGAGAUUGGGAAGAACACCGGAGGCGAAGGCGGCCAACUGGUCUGGUAUUGACGCUGAGGCGCGAAAGCGUGGGGAGCAAACAGG
rnacentral:rRNA from 1 species